rnacentral:rRNA from 1 species
GACGAACGCUGACGGCGUGCUUAACACAUGCAAGUCGAAGGGAGUGGCGAACGGGUGAGUAACACGUGAGUAACCUGCCCUUUUCUUUGGGAUAAGCCUGGGAAACUGGGUCUAAUACUGGAUGGAUUGGGAUGGGCUCGCGGCUUAUCAGCUUGUUGGUGGGGUGAUGGCUUACCAAGGCUUUGACGGGUAGCCGGCCUGAGAGGGUGGUCGGGUACGCUGAGACUGGGAUACGGCCUAGACGACGACGGGAGGGAGAAGUGGGGGAUAUGGCACAAUGGAUGGAAGUCUGAUGCAGCGACGGCGUGUGGGGGAUGAAGGUCUUCGGGUUGUUAAAUCCUUUCGCCAGCGGAAUGGUAGUGGGUGAAGAAGCGCCGGCUAACUACGUGCCAGCAGCCGCGGUAAUUC